UGCAGCCUUAAAUGUGUGGCAGAUUCAUCCUGAUAGUUUUAACAUCAGAUUCAUUGAUGCAUGAUAGACACAUAAUCAAUGUGAAUCCAGUUAUGUUACAAGAUUGUAUCUGUCUCCCUUGCCUGUUAGGUUACUACUUACAGUUAGUAUAACUAGUACUUUAAGAAAGAAAUUUAGAUCAAAUUAUUGAAAGCCAAUCGAUAUGGG
rnacentral:misc_RNA from 1 species